rnacentral:rRNA from 1 species
UUAAGCGACUAAGCGUACACGGUGGAUGCCCUGGCAGUCAGAGGCGAUGAAGGACGUGCUAAUCUGCGAAAAGCGUCGGUAAGGUGAUAUGAACCGUUAUAACCGGCGAUGUCCGAAUGGGGAAACCCAGUGCAAUUCGUUGCACUAUCGUUAACUGAAUACAUAGGUUAACGAGGCGAACCGGGGGAACUGAAACAUCUAAGUACCCCGAGGAAAAGAAAUCAACCGAGAUUCCCCCAGUAGCGGCGAGCGAACGGGGAGCAGCCCAGAGUCUGAAUCAGCUUGUGUGUUAGUGGAACGGUCUGGAAAGUCCGACGGUACAGGGUGAUAGUCCCGUACACCAAAAUGCACAGGCUGUGAACUCGAAGAGUAGGGCGGGACACGUGGUAUCCUGUCUGAAUAUGGGGGGACCAUCCUCCAAGGCUAAAUACUCCUGACUGACCGAUAGUGAACCAGUACCGUGAGGGAAAGGCGAAAAGAACCCCGGCGAGGGGAGUGAAAAAGAACCUGAAACCGUGUACGUACAAGCAGUGGGAGCACCUUCGGGUGUGACUGCGUACCUUUUGUAUAAUGGGUCAGCGACUUAUAUUCUGUAGCAAGGUUAACCGUAUAGGGGAGCCGCAGGGAAACCGAGUCUUAACUGGGCGUUAAGUUGCAGGGUAUAGACCCGAAACCCGGUGAUCUAGCCAUGGGCAGGUUGAAGGUUGGGUAACACUAACUGGAGGACCGAACCGACUAAUGUUGAAAAAUUAGCGGAUGACUUGUGGCUGGGGGUGAAAGGCCAAUCAAACCGGGAGAUAGCUGGUUCUCCCCGAAAGCUAUUUAGGUAGCGCCUCGUGAACUCAUCUUCGGGGGUAGAGCACUGUUUCGGCUAGGGGGUCAUCCCGACUUACCAACCCGAUGCAAACUACGAAUACCGAAGAAUGUUAUCACGGGAGACACACGGCGGGUGCUAACGUCCGUCGUGAAGAGGGAAACAACCCAGACCGCCAGCUAAGGUCCCAAAGUCAUGGUUAAGUGGGAAACGAUGUGGGAAGGCACAGACAGCCAGGAUGUUGGCUUAGAAGCAGCCAUCAUUUAAAGAAAGCGUAAUAGCUCACUGGUCGAGUCGGCCUGCGCGGAAGAUGUAACGGGGCUAAACCAUGCACCGAAGCUGCGGCAGCGACACUAUGUGUUGUUGGGUAGGGGAGCGUUCUGUAAGCCUGCGAAGGUGUGCUGUGAGGCAUGCUGGAGGUAUCAGAAGUGCGAAUGCUGACAUAAGUAACGAUAAAGCGGGUGAAAAGCCCGCUCGCCGGAAGACCAAGGGUUCCUGUCCAACGUUAAUCGGGGCAGGGUGAGUCGACCCCUAAGGCGAGGCCGAAAGGCGUAGUCGAUGGGAAACAGGUUAAUAUUCCUGUACUUGGUGUUACUGCGAAGGGGGGACGGAGAAGGCUAUGUUAGCCGGGCGACGGUUGUCCCGGUUUAAGCAUGUAGGCUGAUUAUCCAGGCAAAUCCGGAUAAUCAAGGCUGAGGUGUGAUGACGAGGCACUACGGUGCUGAAGUAACAAAUGCCCUGCUUCCAGGAAAAGCCUCUAAGCAUCAGGUAACAUCAAAUCGUACCCCAAACCGACACAGGUGGUCAGGUAGAGAAUACCAAGGCGCUUGAGAGAACUCGGGUGAAGGAACUAGGCAAAAUGGUGCCGUAACUUCGGGAGAAGGCACGCUGGUGUGUAGGUGAAGUCCCUGCGGAUGGAGCUGAGACCAGUCGAAGAUACCAGCUGGCUGCAACUGUUUAUUAAAAACACAGCACUGUGCAAACACGAAAGUGGACGUAUACGGUGUGACGCCUGCCCGGUGCCGGAAGGUUAAUUGAUGGGGUUAUCCGUAAGGAGAAGCUCUUGAUCGAAGCCCCGGUAAACGGCGGCCGUAACUAUAACGGUCCUAAGGUAGCGAAAUUCCUUGUCGGGUAAGUUCCGACCUGCACGAAUGGCGUAAUGAUGGCCAGGCUGUCUCCACCCGAGACUCAGUGAAAUUGAACUCGCUGUGAAGAUGCAGUGUACCCGCGGCAAGACGGAAAGACCCCGUGAACCUUUACUAUAGCUUGACACUGAACAUUGAGCCUUGAUGUGUAGGAUAGGUGGGAGGCUUUGAAGCGUGGACGCCAGUCUGCGUGGAGCCAACCUUGAAAUACCACCCUUUAAUGUUUGAUGUUCUAACGUUGGCCCCUGACCGGGGUUGCGGACAGUGUCUGGUGGGUAGUUUGACUGGGGCGGUCUCCUCCCAAAGCGUAACGGAGGAGCACGAAGGUUAGCUAAUCCUGGUCGGACAUCAGGAGGUUAGUGCAAUGGCAUAAGCUAGCUUGACUGCGAGCGUGACGGCGCGAGCAGGUGCGAAAGCAGGUCAUAGUGAUCCGGUGGUUCUGAAUGGAAGGGCCAUCGCUCAACGGAUAAAAGGUACUCCGGGGAUAACAGGCUGAUACCGCCCAAGAGUUCAUAUCGACGGCGGUGUUUGGCACCUCGAUGUCGGCUCAUCACAUCCUGGGGCUGAAGUAGGUCCCAAGGGUAUGGCUGUUCGCCAUUUAAAGUGGUACGCGAGCUGGGUUUAGAACGUCGUGAGACAGUUCGGUCCCUAUCUGCCGUGGGCGCUGGAGAAUUGAGGGGGGCUGCUCCUAGUACGAGAGGACCGGAGUGGACGCAUCACUGGUGUUCGGGUUGUCAUGCCAAUGGCACUGCCCGGUAGCUAAAUGCGGAAGAGAUAAGUGCUGAAAGCAUCUAAGCACGAAACUUGCCCCGAGAUGAGUUCUCCCUGAGACUAUAAGUCUCCUGAAGGAACGUUGAAGACGACGACGUUGAUAGGCCGGGUGUGUAAGCGCAGCGAUGCGUUGAGCUAACCGGUACUAAUGAACCGUGAGGCUUAACCUU